GGUACCCGCUUAUCUGCUCUUGCGGAACUAGGCCAUCAGUCUACCAUAGAUGAGGUUGUCCGUCGAUUUAAUGUCUUUCUGGAAGACAGAGAGACGCCACUCCUCCCACCAGAUGUUCGAAAGGCUGCAUAUGUUGCACUGAUGCAGACCGUGAACAAGUCAAACAAAAGUGGGUAUGAAUCUCUCCUGAAGAUUUACAGGGAAACUGAUCUGAGCUAGGAAAAAGUUCGUGUGCUUGGUUCUUUGGCAUCGUCCCCUGACCCUGAUGUUGUUCGUGAAGCGCUGAAUUUCCUGCUAUCGUCUGAGGUAAGGAAUCAGGAUUGCAUAAUUGUGCUUCGCGGAGUGACUGCAGCAGCGCAUGAGGUGGCAUGGACAUGGUUGAAGGAAAACUGGGACUACAUAGCAGAGACCUUCACUAGACACCUGCUCACCUAUUUCAUCACCGUCACUGUCUCACCGCUCGCCACAGACGAGAAGGGUGACGAGGCAGAGGAGUUCUUCA